AGGAGCUGGAUUCAUUUUUACAUUACAUGCUUCAUGCAGUACUACUUGAAAAUGGGGUCAGUUUCAGAAAAUAUGACAGAAAGUUGGUUAUAUAAGUCUUACCUACUGCAUCUUUAAUUGUCACACUUUAGUGAA